rfam:Endozoicomonas elysicola strain DSM 22380 scaffold00001, whole genome shotgun sequence.
ACCUCCCUGGCCUGUUCGCCAGUCACCAUACGUCCCGAGCCGAUAAUACUACCCAGGGGGCUCCUGGCAGGUGCUGGAGUGCAGGUCCGCCUCGUAGCGGAAAGCCCGAUUCACCUCAGCAGCCCCCACCGUGACCGUUACGGCCACGGGCAAACGUGACAGCGGCAGGGUGGGGAGGUU